rnacentral:rRNA from 1 species
UGGGGGAUAUUGCACAAUGGGCGAAAGCCUGAUGCAGCGACGCCGCGUGGGGGAUGAAGGCCUUCGGGUUGUAAACUUCUUUUGCUCUGAACAAGGCAUGCUAAUGGGUGUGUUGAGUGUAGGGGUUGAUUAGCGCCGGCUAACUACGUGCCAGCAGCCGCGGUAAUACGUAGGGCGCGAGCGUUGUCCGGAAUUAUCGGGCGUAAAGGGCUUGUAGGUGGCUGGUUGCGUCUGUCGUGAAAGCUCAUGGCUUAACUGUGGGUUUGCGGUGGGUACGGGCUGGCUUGAGUGCAGUAGGGGAGGCUGGAAUUCCUGGUGUAGCGGUGGAAUGCGCAGAUAUCAGGAGGAAUACCGGUGGCGAAGGCGGGUCUCUGGGCUGUUACUGACACUGAGGAGCGAAAGCAUGGGGAGCGAACAGG